CCCCUAGAUGUUCUGGGCCGCACGCGCGCUACACUGAACAGUUCAACAAGUCUUAACCUUGGCCGAUAGGUCUGGGUAAUCUUUGAACGUGAAUCGUGAUGGGGAUAGAUGAUUGCAAUUAUUCAUCUUCAACGAGGAAUUCCUAGUAAACGCAAGUCAUCAGCUUGCAUUGAUUACGUCCCUGCCCUUUGUACACACCGCCCGUCGCACCUACCGAUUGAAUGGUCCGGUGAAAUCUCGGGACGGCGGCUUGGUCGCUUGCGUCCGACUGCUGAAACUUGAUUAAACCAUAUCAUUUAGAGGAAGGUGAAGUCGUAACA
rnacentral:rRNA from 1 species